rnacentral:rRNA from 1 species
UACGGAGGGUGCAAGCGUUAUCCGGAUUUACUGGGUUUAAAGGGUGCGUAGGUGGGCCUGUAAGUCAGUGGUGAAAUCUUCAAGCUUAACUUGGAAACUGCCAUUGAUACUAUAGGUCUUGAAUUAUCUGGAGGUAAGCGGAAUAUGUCAUGUAGCGGUGAAAUGCUUAGAGAUGACAUAGAACACCCAUGCGAAGGCAGCUUACUACGGAUUGAUUGACACUGAGGCACGAAAGCGUGGGGAUCAAACAGG